CACACACACACACACACACACACACACACACACACACACACACACACACACACACACACAACAAAAACAAAAAAUACAUAUGUGAUAAAAAUGAUGGAAAAAGUGUAAGAAAACUUGAAAAACAAUGUGAUGAGGAUGAUGAGAAGACGGAAGAGGUGGAGGGUAUACCAAGCAUCGACUUUGGGGUGAUGGGUUAAUCCAUUAAGUUCAAUAUACUCAGAACGAGACGGGGACAAUGAAGAAAAAAAGAGAGGGCAUUCUUUGAUAUCCCAAAACAUCAGCAACUGCAACAUCAACAUGAAUGAAUAGUUAUGGAAGGAAUGUUUUUUUUUUCUCAUUACAAGGGCUGUGCACUCAAUCAGGGCUGACCCACGUCGAAAUAGUACACUACCUCAGACAUAAACGAUUAAAUAAAAAUAACACAACAAACG